GACGUAGGGCGCGAGCGUUGUCCGGAUUUAUUGGGCGUAAAGAGCUCGUAGGUGGCUUGUCGCGUCGACUGUGAAAACCCGUGGCUCAACCAUGUGGUCUGCAGUCGAUACGGGCAGGCUAGAAUUCGGUAGGGGAGACUGGAAUUCCUGGUGUAGCGGUGAAAUGCGCAGAUAUCAGGAGGAACACCGGUGGCGAAGGCGGGUCUCUGGGCCGAUAUUGACGCUGAGGAGCGAAAGCGUGGGGAGCGAACAGG
rnacentral:rRNA from 1 species